ACCUUCAGAGGCAAUUCCUCUCUGUUGUACCUGGUGGGGUAGCUGUAGAACGGGGCAAAGGGGCACUUGUGCUUCAUCCAGAGGCAGAGCUGUCCUUUUGAAAAUGAAGACCUUUAAACCAACUGCAUCCUGAGUAAAGUCAGACAUUGCCUAGAACUGGCUGCAUUUGGAGAUCCAGAUACCUGUGUAUGCACAGCCUCUGGGGUGGCAUCUCACGUGGCAGAUGAAGGUCCUGGUUGGGCCAUGGGUGCCAGGAGCCUCAG
rnacentral:lncRNA from 1 species